rnacentral:rRNA from 1 species
UAGGGAAUCUUCGGCAAUGGACGAAAGUCUGACCGAGCAACGCCGCGUGAGUGAAGAAGGUUUUCGGAUCGUAAAACUCUGUUGUGAGAGAAGAACAAGGACGUUAGUAACUGAACGUCCCCUGACGGUAUCUAACCAGAAAGCCACGGCUAACUACGUGCCAGCAGCCGCGGUAAUACGUAGGUGGCAAGCGUUGUCCGGAUUUAUUGGGCGUAAAGCGAGCGCAGGCGGUUUCUUAAGUCUGAUGUGAAAGCCCCCGGCUCAACCGGGGAGGGUCAUUUGAAACUGGGAGACUUGAGUGCAGAAGAGGAGAGUGGAAUUCCAUGUGUAGCGGUGAAAUGCGUAGAUAUAUGGAGGAACACCAGUGGCGAAGGCGGCUCUCUGGUCUGUAACUGACGCUGAGGCUCGAAAGCGUGGGGAGCAAACAGG